rnacentral:rRNA from 1 species
UUCGCAAUGCCCGAAAGGGUGACGAUGCGACGCCGCGUGAGCGAAGAAGGCCCUAGGGUUGUAAAGCUCUGUCGAGGGUUAUGAAAUAUAGAUGGGUUAAUACCCCAUUUAUUUGACAAAAGCCCAAAAGGAAGCCACGGCUAACUCUGUGCCAGCAGCCGCGGUAGUACAGAGGUGGCGAGCGUUGUUCGGAAUUAUUGGGCGUAAAGAGCACGUAGGCGGCCUUGUAAGUCAGUUGUGAAAGCCUUCUGCUCAACGGAAGAACAGCAUCUGAUACUGCAAGGCUAGAGUGCGGAAGGGGAGAGUGGAACUUCUGGUGGAGCGGUGAAAUGCGUAGAUAUCAGAAGGAACGUCGGCGGCGAAAGCGACUCUCUGGCCUAUUACUGACACUGAGUGUGCGAAAGUUAGGGGAGCAAACAGGAUUAGAUACCCCGGUAGUCCUAACCGUAAACGAUGGGCACUAAGUAGAGGGGUUUU